rnacentral:rRNA from 1 species
CACAGAGAGCUUGCUCUCGGGUGACGAGCGGCGGACGGGUGAGUAAUGUCUGGGAAACUGCCUGAUGGAGGGGGAUAACUACUGGAAACGGUAGCUAAUACCGCAUAACGUCGCAAGACCAAAGUGGGGGACCUUCGGGCCUCAUGCCAUCAGAUGUGCCCAGAUGGGAUUAGCUAGUAGGUGGGGUAAUGGCUCACCUAGGCGACGAUCCCUAGCUGGUCUGAGAGGAUGACCAGCCACACUGGAACUGAGACACGGUCCAGACUCCUACGGGAGGCAGCAGUGGGGAAUAUUGCACAAUGGGCGCAAGCCUGAUGCAGCCAUGCCGCGUGUAUGAAGAAGGCCUUCGGGUUGUAAAGUACUUUCAGCGAGGAGGAAGGCAUUAAGGUUAAUAACCUUGGUGAUUGACGUUACUCGCAGAAGAAGCACCGGCUAACUCCGUGCCAGCAGCCGCGGUAAUACGGAGGGUGCAAGCGUUAAUCGGAAUUACUGGGCGUAAAGCGCACGCAGGCGGUCUGUCAAGUCGGAUGUGAAAUCCCCGGGCUCAACCUGGGAACUGCAUUCGAAACUGGCAGGCUAGAGUCUUGUAGAGGGGGGUAGAAUUCCAGGUGUAGCGGUGAAAUGCGUAGAGAUCUGGAGGAAUACCGGUGGCGAAGGCGGCCCCCUGGACAAAGACUGACGCUCAGGUGCGAAAGCGUGGGGAGCAAACAGGAUUAGAUACCCUGGUAGUCCACGCCGUAACGAUGUCGACUUGGAGGUUGUGCCCUUGAGGCGUGGCUUCCGGAGCUAACGCGUUAAGUCGACCGCCUGGGGAGUACGGCCGCAAGGUUAAACUCAAUGAAUUUGACGGGGCCCGCACAGCGGUGGAGCAUGUGGUUUAAUUCGAUGCACGCGAGACCUUACCUGCUCUUGA